rnacentral:rRNA from 1 species
GACGAACGCUGGCGGCGUGCCUAAUACAUGCAAGUCGAACGCAGUGGGGACAGGUGAGUAACACGUGGGUAACCUCCCCUCAGAGGGGAUAACACUUGGAAACAGGUGCUAAACCGAUACUGAUGGAUGGCCCCGCGGUGCAUGAGCUAGUUGGUGGGGUAACGGCUCACACAGGCCACGAUGACUAGCCGACCUGAUAGGGUGAUCGGCCACACUGGGACCGAGACACGGCCCAGACUCCUACGGGAGGCAGCAGUAGGGAAUCUUCGGCAAUGGAUGAAAGCCUGACCGAGCAAAGCCGCGUGAGUGAAGAAGGGUUUCGGAUCGUAAAACUCUGUUGUUAGAGAAGCGGUAUCUAACCAGAAAGCCACGGCUAACUACGUGCCAGCAGCCGCGGUAAUUC